UACAGAGGUCUCAAGCGUUGUUCGGAUUCAUUGGGCGUAAAGGGUGCGUAGGCGGCGCGGUAAGUCGGGUGUGAAAUCUCGGAGCUUAACUCCGAAACUGCAUUCGAUACUGCCGUGCUUGAGGACUGGAGAGGAGACUGGAAUUUACGGUGUAGCGGUGAAAUGCGUAGAUAUCUGGAGGAACACCGGUGGCGAAGGCGGCAUCCUGGACCAAUUCUGACGCUGAGUGAGCGAAAGCCAGGGGAGCAAACAGGG
rnacentral:rRNA from 1 species